CUCUUGUCGCCGGUGCGUUGUGCCUGCAUCUUUGCUCCAGCUAAGCCAGCUCCUCUAGGCCUCUGGCUGCCCACCGCAGUGGGCUCUGGACUGGACUCUGGACCAUGCGUUGCUGGGUUUGCUGCUGUGAUGAUGGAGGUGCUGCUUUUGUCUGUCUGAUGUUUAUACUUUGUGGGUGUGGAGUGUGCUAGGAACAUCUCAUAUGUGCCAGGAACUGGCUCUUUGGAAAAGUCAGUCCAGGUUAGAAACAUAGACUGUGGCCGGGCAUAGUGGCUCACGCCUAUAAUCCCAGCACUUUGGGAAGCCAAGGUGGGCAGAUCUCUUGACUUGAGGUCAGGAGUUCGAGACCGGCCUGGCCAACAUUGUGAAACCCCAUCUCUACUAAAAAUACAAAAAUUAGCCAGGCAUGGUGGUGCAUGCCUGUAGUUCCAGCUAUCCGGGAGGCUGAGGCACGGGAAUUGCUUGAACCCUGGAGACAGAGGUUGCAGUGAGCCAAGAUCACGCCACUGCACUCCAGGACUGUAUCAAGUUCACUCCAAAAGUGGAGAAGAGCCAUCUGGACUGCAACUGCCACCAAGGGAAGCCACACUUCAGCCAAGUGGGGCCCUCCACCUAAGGCCGAGCAUGGUGUCACACAGCUGUAGCCGUUAGGAAUGUCUCUGGAUGCAAUGAAUAGAAAAUCUACAUAUCAGAGGCUGAAGCAAUAAGAGGCAGCAGCGUGGGUAUGGGCUAUUCUGGGUUUGGGGAAAUAGUUCAGAGAUGUUAUCCGGGAGCCAAGUCCACUUUUAUUGGCCUUUUAUUGGGAAGAAAGGAGUGUUCCUCUCAUCAAGAAGUAAAGUGUUUCCCAGAAGCACCCCCUCCUCCUCACAUUUCUUCACAUCUCUUUGGCUAGAACCGCAUCACACGGCCACCCCCAGUUGCAACAGAGACUGGGAAGGUGGAGUAUCAGAUGGAAAUCCUAUUGUCAGGACCCAGGCUGAGCAUGCUGCCUCCCCACACGAAACCAGACUUCUGUUAGCAAGAAAGAUACAAGAUCGCCGGCCACUAUGGUUAUUGACAUGUUGUGCUGUCAUCUUCCAAAAACUGACGAGGGCCAGGUGCGGUGGCACACACCUGUAAUCCCAACAUCCUGGAGGCUGAGGCAAGAGGAUCACUUGAGGCCAGGACUUUGAGACUAGCUUGGGCAACAUAGCGAGACCCCCAUCUCUACAAAAAAUAAAAAUAAAAAUUUUAAUAAAAAAAAUAGCCGA